rnacentral:rRNA from 1 species
AACCAGAAGGCGCAAUGAAAGUGAAGGCACGGUCGCCGUGCUGAGGUGAGAGCCGUCCCCNGACGGCGCAUCAUCGACCGAUCCCAUCCGCUCCCUCGUGGUGCGGCGGGAUUCGAGUAAGAGUGUACCUGUUGCGACCCGAAAGAUGGUGAACUAUGCCUGAAUAGGGUGAAGCCAGAGGAAACUCUGGUGGAGGCCCGUAGCGAUUCUGACGUGCAAAUCGAUCGUCAAAUUUGGGUAUAGGGGCGAAAGACUAAUCGAACCAUCUAGUAGCUGGUUCCCUCCGAAGUUUCCCUCAGGAUAGCUGUAGCCCUAAGCAGUUUUAUCAGGUAAAGCGAAUGAUUAGAGGUAUCGGGGAAGAAACUUCCUCGACCUAUUCUCAAACUUUAAAUAGGUAAGAAGUCCGACUUGCUCAAUUUGAAGCCGGACACAGAAUGCUGGGUUACUAGUGGGCCAUUUUUGGUAAGCAGAACUGGCGAUGCGGGAUGAACCGAACGCCGAGUUAAGGUGCCAAA